rnacentral:rRNA from 1 species
UACGUAGGGACCGAGCGUUGUCCGGAUUCAUUGGGCGUAAAGAGCUCGUAGGCGGCUGCUCAAGUCGAAUGUGAAAACUCGAGGCUCAACCUCGAGCCUGCAUUCGAUACUGGGCGGCUAGAGUCUGGUAGGGGGAUCUGGAAUUCCUGGUGUAGCGGUGAAAUGCGCAGAUAUCAGGAGGAACACCGGUGGCGAAGGCGGGUCUCUGGGCCGUAACUGACGCUGAGGAGCGAAAGCAUGGGGAGCGAACAGG